rnacentral:rRNA from 1 species
UACGAAGGGGGGCUAGCGUUGUUCGGAAUUACUGGGCGUAAAGCGCACGUAGGCGGAUAUUUAAGUCAGGGGUGAAAUCCCAGAGCUCAACUCUGGAACUGCCUUUGAUACUGGGUAUCUUGAGUAUGGAAGAGGUGAGUGGAAUUCCGAGUGUAGAGGUGAAAUUCGUAGAUAUUCGGAGGAACACCAGUGGCGAAGGCGGCUCACUGGUCCAUUACUGACGCUGAGGUGCGAAAGCGUGGGGAGCAAACAGG